GUGGCGAAUACAAGCAAGAAGUUGAGUUGCGCCGGGAGGUUUAUCCAUCCUUUGAGCAGUGUUUGAAACUUAUUUCUGUUUUCUUAGAGUGUGAAAACAGCAGAGUGGGAUGCCCGUCCUCCACAGACUGCGGGAGCUCUGGGGGGGAUCUGGAGCCCUGAGUCACCGGGCCCUCAGAACGCCAGGGACUUUAAAGAGAACUUCUGUGCCCUCGAAGCAAACAUGAACAGCUACAGGAAGAAAGGCCUUCACGUGCCAAACACUGUGCCCUCCCUAAUGUUUGGGACAAAGGUUCAAUCAGAGGACGCGAAAGGGACACUACCUGUGAAAGUACAUUUUCUCCACAUGCUCUUUCAUUCAUUCACAACCUGCAGUUUCCUGCUGACCAGAACAACAGUCUGUUGAGGGGGGGGGGGACAAAAUGGCGGCUGUUUCCUGGUAGGAAGAGAAAAAAAACCGUAUCGGAUCAGAUAUCAUAUCAGAAACUUUCCACUGGCCUGCUGUCCAUGAAAGAGGAUUGUAAAUGUAAAGAAAGGGGUUUACACAUAAGGUUUAAAUACAUUAAAUCAUAUUGAAUCCAUUCAGAAUAAUGGGGAAAUUAUUUCAAAUAAGUUGAAUCAUUCAGGGUAUUUUCACACAGGAGUCCUGGCUCUUGUAGUGUUAAAAGUGUUGUCAUUGACCAGAGAAACCAUUCCCUGACCUUGAUUUGGCCCAGUAAACCAAGCAGUGCAGUGUGUUUAUAAAUUGCCUGUCAUUACCAAGUGCAGGCCUGAUCCCAGUUGCUGAA